GGGAGGGCGCGUAUGAUUAUAUAGUAUGUUUUGUAAGCGCCCACCCCGGCGCCGAAGAGUAUCUGGUCUGAGAGGAUGAUCACCCACACUGGGCCUGAGACACGGCCCAGACUCCUACUGUAGGCAGCAGUGGGGAAUUUUCCGCAAUGGGCGAAAGCCUGAAGGAUCAAUACCGCGUGAGGGAGGAAGGCUCUUGGGUUGUAAACCUUUUUUCUCAAGAAAAAAAAAAAUGACGGUACCUGAAGAAUAAGCAUCGGCUAACUCCGUGCCAGCAGCCGCGGUAAUACGGAGGAUGCAAGCGUUAUCCGGAAUGAUUGGGCGUAAAGGGUCCGCAGGUGGCUAUGUAAGUCUGCUGUUAAAGAAUGAGGCUUAACCUCAUCAGAGCAGUGGAAACUACACAGCUAGAGUGCGUUCGGGGUAGAGGGAAUUCCUGGUGUAGCGGUGAAAUGCAUAUAUAUGAAGAAAAACACCAGUGGCGAAAGCUCUCUACUAGGCCGCAACUGACACUGAGGGACGAAAG
rnacentral:rRNA from 1 species